rnacentral:rRNA from 1 species
AAAGUUUCCUUCGGGAGACAAGUAGAGUGGCGCACGGGUGAGUAACACGUAGGUAAUCUACCUUUGGAUGGGGAAUAACAACCGGAAACGGUUGCUAAUACCGCAUAAUGCAGCGGCACCUAAUGGUGACAGUUGUUAAAGCGGGGGAUCGAAAGACCUCGCGUCUAAAGAGGAGCCUGCGGCGGAUUAGCUAGUUGGUAAGGUAACGGCUUACCAAGGCGAUGAUCCGUAACCGGCCUGAGAGGGCGGUCGGUCACACUGACACUGACAUACGGGUCAGACUCCUACGGGAGGCAGCAGUCGGGAAUUUUGGGCAAUGGGCGAAAGCCUGACCCAGCAACGCCGCGUGAAGGAUGAAAUCCCUCGGGAUGUAAACUUCGCAAGAACAGGAAGAAUAAGUAAGGGUUAAUACCUCUUAUGAUGACGGUACUGUUUGUAAGCUCCGGCUAACUCCGUGCCAGCAGCCGCGGUAAUACGGGGGGAGCAAGCGUUGUUCGGAUUUACUGGGCGUAAAGGGCGCGUAGGCGGCCUCCGCAAGUCAGUUGUGAAAUCUCCGGGCUUAACCCGGAAAGGUCAACUGAUACUGCGGGGCUAGAGUGCAGAAGGGGCAACCGGAAUUCUCGGUGUAGCGGUGAAAUGCGUAGAUAUCGAGAGGAACACCUGCGGCGAAGGCGGGUUGCUGGGCUGACACUGACGCUGAAGCGCGAAAGCUAGGGGAGCGAACGGGAUUAGAUACCCCGGUAGUCCUAGCCUUAAACGAUGAAUGCUUGGUGUCUGGGGUUUUAUAGUCCCCGGGUGCCGUCGCUAACG